UCACUUCCGGCGCUUUCCGAGCUUGCACAGACUAAGCCAGAGCGCACGCACAAGUCACACAACAGGAAGCACGCGUGCCCUCAGAUCACUUGGACAUGGUUGUGUACAAGAGAUAUUCAUACAGGUUUGGAACAACUCGAAGGGGAAUUAACAAUGAUGACGGAAUGGUAAUUUUGGGCGAACUAUCAUUUUAAAGCUUCUUCAUGGAACCAUAGAUGCCAAGAAAGAACUGCCAACCUUCCUCUCCAACAAGAUCACGUCACCUUAGAUUAGUUGAUAGAUUCAUUGCAUCACAUGAAAGACCAUCUGGGCAGCAGCUAAAUAGACCACUGCAGCCAGCACACUAACAAUCUCUCUGCUGCCAUUUUGCCCUCUCUGAUCAUCUUGACUUGAUUUCAAGACCUGUUUUUUUUUCUAAACUCAGUGAGCUAUAAGAUUGCAGAGCCUUCAUCAAAACCAUAAAUGGCUUCUGAUGGCAUUCACGCUCUUGCAUUUGUUGCUUUUAUUAUGUGUAUUAUUAGGCUGAACGGAUGAUUUGCAAUUAAUACUAUUCAGAGUAGGAAGGAAAGAGGAGGUGGAGGAGAAGACCGAGGGAUAAAAAUACUCCUCCUAUUUAUAAGAGCCGGAAUUCUAAUCCAGGAGGAAUGACGUAUCGGUCCAACCCAUUAACAGACCAGAGGAUCCAAGCAUCACUUUUUUUCCCUUUUUCUUAUAUCUCAUCUUCUAUUCUUUUUGUUCUUUUAUAAGAUCAGUGGCAGUCACUUUGAAGCGUUCACACCUCAGAGAUGAAAUGCAUGAGUAGAUUUCACACUUUUCUGCAGAAAGAAAUUAAACAUAAACAUGCAAAUGUCUGUUCCUAAUAAACUUACACCAGUCUUCCUCUGCUGAUAUAUUUUAACUGUCUCUCCCUCUCCCUCAUUAUUAUACUUUUCGGUCUCUUAUCUGCUAACCCAGUUGUUCUGGACAAAAGUAGAAACCUUGGGGGAAGUGGGCCAGUAGUGCAGGCAGGACUGUGUGUGUGUGUAUUUUUCAUUUUGCGCCAUACAGUACAUCUCAGUGGUGUCCCAUUCAUCUAUUCAUACUUGGAAUUGUGUGUCGUAAUGCAUGCAACAUAAAAUGUGAGGGCCAUUCUGUGCUUUUAUUUGUGUCUGUGCAUGCAUGCAAUAAAAUGGCUUGACAAA